rnacentral:rRNA from 1 species
UGGGGAAUAUUGCACAAUGGAGGGAACUCUGAUGCAGCAACGCCGCGUGCGGGAUGACGGCCUUCGGGUUGUAAACCGCUUUCAGCCAUGACGAAGCUUUUGUGACGGUCGGGGUAGAAGAAGCACCGGCUAACUACGUGCCAGCAGCCGCGGUGAUACGUAGGGUGCGAGCGUUGUCCGGAAUUAUUGGGCGUAAAGAGCUUGUAGGCGGUUUGUCGCGUCGAUAGUGUAAACACGCAGCUUAACUGUGUGCCUGCUGUCGAUACGGGCUGACUAGAGGAGGGUAGGGGAGAAUGGAAUUCCCGGUGGAGCGGUGGAAUGCGCAGAUAUCGGGAGGAACACCAGUGGCGAAGGCGGUUCUCUGGACCUUUCCUGACGCUGAGAAGCGAAAGCGUGGGUAGCAAACAGG